rnacentral:tRNA from 2 species
GGAGAGAUGGCCGAGCGGCUGAAGGCGCCGGUUUGCUAAACCGGUGUACGGGUUACAACCUGUACCGCGGGUUCGAAUCCCGCUCUCUCCG